rnacentral:lncRNA from 1 species
UCUUCACAAUUUAUGUUCUUCUGCCAUGGCUUCAGCUGGUCCCUCCGUUUGGGGUACCUGACUUCCCGCAACACUUUUCAGAAUUAGAAAAAGCUACUUUAAAUUUCAUAUGGAACCAAAAAAGAGCCCGUAUGGUCAAGACAAUCCUAAGCAAAAAGAACAGAGCUGGAGGCAUCAUGCUACCUGACUUCCAACUAUACU